AAAGCAUCAGGGGAUAGAGUCUGGUGUAUAUUUAACUUUCCUUGGGUGUAAAAUGAGAUUUUAUGAGUGUAAAAAUCAAUGAUUUGGGUGUAUAAUAGGUUGGGUGAUUUAGGGUUUAGGGUUUAGGGUUUAGGGUUUAGGAUUUAGGGUUUAUGGUUUAGGGUUUAUGGUUUAGGAUUUUUAGGGAUAAAUCAUCAGGGGGAAUAGAUGUUUGGGUGUAUAAUCAACAUUCUUUGGGUGUAAAAUGUCAGGUUAUGGGUGUAUAUUUGGUUUGAUGUUUUCCUUUAU